rnacentral:rRNA from 1 species
UACGUAGGUGGCAAGCGUUGUCCGGAUUUAUUGGGUUUAAAGGGUGCGUAGGCGGCCGCUUAAGUCAGUUGUGAAAUAUCCCGGCUCAACCGGGAGGGUGCGAUUGAUACUGGGCGGCUCGAGUAACAGCGAGGUUGGCGGAAUUGACGGUGUAGCGGUGAAAUGCAUAGGUAUCGUCAAGAACACCGAUAGCGAAGGCAGCCAACUAGGGGUUAACUGACGCUGAGGCACGAAAGUGCGGGGAUCAAACAGG